CAGCAGCCGCGGUAAUACCGGCGGCCCGAGUGGCGGCCACUCUUAUUGGGCUUAAAGCGUCCGUAGCCGGGUUGGUUAGUCUCCCGGGAAAUCUGGCCGCUUAACGGUCAGAAUUCCGGGAGAUACUGCCAGCCUAGGGACCGGGAGAGGCCGAGGGUAUUCCCGGAGUAGGGGUGAAAUCCCAUAAUCCCGGGAGGACCACCUGUGGCGAAGGCGCUCGGCUGGAACGGGUCCGACGGUGAGGGACGAAGGCCAGGGGAGCAAACCGGAUUAGAUACCCGGGUAGUCCUGGCUGUAAACGAUGCGGACUUUGUGUCGGACAAGCUAUGAGCUUGUCCGGUGCCGGAGGGAAACCGUUAAGUCCGCCGCCUGGGGAGUACGGCCGCAAGGCUGAAACUUAAAGGAAUUGGCGGG
rnacentral:rRNA from 1 species